GGUUAAGUUAGAAAGGGCGCACGGUGGAUGCCUUGGCACUAGGAGCCGAAGAAGGACGGGACUAACACCGAUAUGCUUUGGGGAGCUGUACGUAAGCGUUGAUCCAGAGAUUUCCGAAUGGGGGAACCCACUAUCUUUAGUCGGAUAGUAUCCUUACGUGAAUACAUAGCGUGAGGAAGGCAGACCCAGGGAACUGAAACAUCUAAGUACCUGGAGGAAGAGAAAGAAAAAUCGAUUU
rnacentral:rRNA from 1 species